GGGCUUUUAGCUCAGUUGGUUAGAGUGUACCCCUGAUAAGGGUAAGGUCCCCAGUUCGAGUCUGGGAUGGCCCA
rnacentral:tRNA from 1 species